GCCCUCGUAGCUCAGUGGUAGAGCACCCGGCUUUUAAUCGGGGUGUCGCAAGUUCGAGCCUUGCCGGGGGCACCA
rnacentral:tRNA from 1 species